UACAGGGGGGGCAAGCGUUGUUCGGAAUUACUGGGCGUAAAGGGCGCGUAGGCGGCUUAUCAAGUCAGGCGUGAAAUUCCCGGGCUCAACCUGGGGGCUGCGCUUGAUACUGAUUGGCUUGAAUGCGGGAGAGGAUAGUGGAAUUCCCAGUGUAGAGGUGAAAUUCGUAGAUAUUGGGAAGAACACCGGUGGCGAAGGCGGCUAUCUGGCCCGUAAUUGACGCUGAGGCGCGAAAGCGUGGGGAGCAAACAGG
rnacentral:rRNA from 1 species